rnacentral:rRNA from 1 species
ACACGUAUGAAGGACAAGCUGAAAGACUUUUCCCAAUGAUGUAAGUGGUGGUGCAUGGUCGUUCUUAGUUCGUGGAUUGAUUUGUCUGGUCUAUUCCGAUAACGAGCGAGACCCCAACGUUCCUACUAUGGGCUGGCAGCCCGGCUCGUCGUAAUUUGCGGCUUGCUAGCACGCCAGUUAAGAAUUUGCUUCUUAGACGUAUCGUGCCGCGAUAAGCGCACUGAAAUGGGUUAAUAACAGGUCAGUCAUGCCCUUAGAUGUUCUGGGCCGCACGCGCGUUACAAUGGUAUACAUUAGAACGUGUCGUUAGCGGCGUUUCCGCGGCCUUCUGGUCGCGGUAACCCAUAAUCUGUCCCUUGACUGGGCCAGACCUUUGCAAUUAUUGGUCUCCAACGAGGAAUUUUUAGUAGUCGCAGGUCAUUAACCUGCGACG